AUCGGUUGUAUCACAAUCAGUAUUUCUACGAAGGAAUUUGGUCAUUCGCAAACGGUUAACUCCAAACUAGCUAAACGACGAUGGCAUUAGCAACAAAAAUGGUACUAGCUGGACUGUUAGUUCUUGCUUGCCUAGACAUGAGUUCUGCAGAGGACAUUGAUUUUCCCAAAUGUCCUCCCAACUGGAUUGGAAAAGUGCAAGAUCCGAAGCGCUGCCACAUUUACAUCACUUGUACGCCUUUUGGCCCUAUCUUGAGUGUAUGUGAAUCUCCGUUGGCAUUCAAUCCUAUAACUUCUACAUGUGAUUUAGAAGAAAACGUCCCGUCCUGCAAAUAUGCAGACGAUGAACCUUUCUUCGGUUUACGCGGCUAAAGGUCGGAUACUCAGUCGAAAUUGAGUGAACCCCAGUCGAUGAAAUUUCUCCGAUAAUAGACCGAAUAUCGAUCAGAUUCCACCAUCCGAUCUCACAGGAGGUACAAGGCGUAACGACGAUUCGAUCAAAUUAAUAAAUAAUGAGACGUUGUAAUUCGUUUUCUCCCGGCAGCUGCCGUAUAAUUUUUAUCGCUGUAUUUUAUCUACUCAUCAAACGCUUUUAAGCACUCUGAAAAUAAACAGAAAUAUAAAAAAUAA